rnacentral:lncRNA from 1 species
CCAAAAUGGCGAAAAAGUGACCAAAAAUGUGCCAAAAUGGCCGCCAGUGUCCCCAGAUGUCCCCGAAUGUCCCCAAAUGUCCCCAAGUGUCCCCAGAUGUCCCCAAGUGUCCCCAGAUGUCCCCAAAUGUCCCCAAGUGUCCCCAGAUGUCCCCAAAUGUCCCCAAAUGUCCCCAAAACGUUCCCAGGGCUGGUCUGGCUUGUCCUUGUGUCCUCAAGGGUGUCCCCAAGGCCACCCAGGUGUCCCCAGGUGUCCCCAAAGUGUCCCCAAGGCCACCCAGGUGUCCCCAAAGUGUCCCCAAGACCACCCAGGUGUCCACAGGUGUCCCCAAGGCCACCCCAGGUGUGUCCCAGGUGUCCCCAAGUCCCUCCCUGGGUUGUCCUUGUGUCCCCAAAGUGUCCCCAAGGCCACGCCAGGUGUGUCCCAGGUGUCCCCAAAUCUCUCCCUGGGUUGUCCCUGUGUCCCCAAGGAUGUCCCCAAGGCCACCCCGGGUGUCCCCAAAGUGUCCCCAAGACCACCCGGGUGUCCCCAGGUGUCCCCAAAAAAUCCUCCAACGCUCUCGUUCCAAUCUCAGCUUUAUUCCAACAUCCCCAGGUGUGUCCAGGGUGUCCCCAGGGUGUCCCCAAGGCCACCGCGGGUGUCCCCAAGGUGUCACUUGUAGAACUCGUGCUCCUGCUCGUCCUUCUUGAUGACGGUCUUGUACGCCUUCUCAAAGUCCUUGGCCAGCACGAUGUACCUGUUCUCCCUGACGGCCAGCAUGCCACCCUGGGGACACGGGGACAGUGUCACCUGUGUCACCUGAGUGUCACCUCUGUGUCACCUGUGUCACCUGUGCCAUCCCCCAGGGUCACCUGUGUCACCUGCACUGAGCUACGGCCACACCUGUGUCACCUGUGUCACCUCAGUGUCACCUGUGUCACCUGUACCUGUUCUCCCUGACGGCCAGCAUGCCACCCUGGGGACACGGGGACAGUGUCACCUGUGUCACCUGUGUCACCUCAGU